rfam:Bipolaris zeicola 26-R-13 unplaced genomic scaffold scaffold_14, whole genome shotgun sequence.
ACAUACGACCAUCGGCGAAGUACAAAAUUGGGUCCCGUCCGCUCCCCAGACAUUAAGCCUUCGACCGGCGGAUCAGUAGUCAGGUGGGUGACCACUGGCGAAUCCCCGCUGUUGUAUGUU